GCAUCAUGGAUGGCUCAGUCGGUUAGAACGCUGUGCUGAUAACGCCAAGGUUGCAGGUUCGAUCCCCGGAUGGGACA